UCCCCCAUUGCGCAACUGGCUAACGCGUCAGACUGUUAAUCCGGAGGUUCUCUGUUCAAUCCUGAGCGGGGGGG